rnacentral:rRNA from 1 species
AGUGAACGCUGGCGGUAGGCCUAACACAUGCAAGUCGAACGGCAGCACAGUAAGAGCUUGCUCUUACGGGUGGCGAGUGGCGGACGGGUGAGGAAUACAUCGGAAUCUACUUUUUCGUGGGGGAUAACGUAGGGAAACUUACGCUAAUACCGCAUACGACCUACGGGUGAAAGCAGGGGAUCUUCGGACCUCGCGCGAGUGAAGGAGCCGAUGUCGGAUUAGCUAGUUGGCGGGGUAAAGGCCCACCAAGGCGACGAUCCGUAGCUGGUCUGAGAGGAUGGUCAGCCACACUGGAACUGAGAAACGGUCCAGACUCCUACGGGAGGCAGCAGUGGGGAAUAUUGGACAAUGGGCGCAAGCCUGAUCCAGCCAUACCGCGUGGGUGAAGAAGGCCUUCGGGUUGUAAAGCCCUUUUGUUGGGAAAGAAAAGCAGCAGGUUAAUACCCCGCUGUUCUGACGGUACCCAAAGAAUAAGCACCGGCUAACUUCGUG